AACGACUAUAUGAGACACACACAUAUCCACCAAAUAUUCAUGUCACUCACCCCCCAUUAAGCUGUUUGACAUUGUCAAUUUUGGUCUCCACAACUCUUUCCACAGGUUUCAAGCAGCAAGGGGCGACGAUGGCUGAUUGGAUCCGACCAGUCACGCUGUCGCGUCUGUGGAAUCGAUGUUAUAAUCUCUUCAGCAGCAGUGACUUCUUCAUUAGUACCAUAAACACGAUUAAGGAUGUGCUAAGCUGGUCUGGUCUGUUCAUCAUCUCCUUGCUGAUUGGGAUCUGGAUUAAGCUAGCAAUUACAGGUCUAGCUAGCUUUCUUCCAGGGGAUGUGCCAAGUUGGAAAACUAGCUGGACCGUAGGCAUUGCCAUAUUUACCUUCAGCUGUUAUUGUCUGGAGGAAUGUCUGAAAAUGAAGAGAGCUCAACUUGCUCGAGCUCUACUGGAUCCUUCGAGGAGGAACAACAUAGAAUUUCGUAAUGGCACUGUUUACUGAGAAUCCUGUUGUAAGGUUGUUAAUACUUCUGAUACAUUAUCCAUAUGCAUAUGCUUAAAGGGGUUUGAUACUUCAAACCAUCACAUGGACAAUCAUUGUAAAAUUGAUUCAUCUGGUAUGCGAAUCCUAAACGAAUCGUGCUUGAUCUCA